AUAAUGCACCGGUCAGUGCUCCUGUUAAAACAGCCAUUACUCAUGCUAGUCAUAACUUAAUAAAGAGUUAUGAUCUUUACUCAAUUAAUAUCGGUGAAGCUUCACUGAUCUCUGAAGCCCCUACCAAAUCAAAGCUGUAGAAUGAAGCAUGAUCAGUUGAGCCGAUAAAUGAAAGACGAAAAUUGUGAUUGUGCCUCUCGGAAACAUCCAUUUCAUCAAAUAUUUAAAAGCCUAAUACAAAAUCAAUUCUUCAAGAACAACAUUAGGAUUGAGAAACUGCGUCCUCCACAUUAAGUUCAAGAGUUUCACCAUUAAUUCAAUCGCUCUUCCCCUCAGAGGAAACAAGAUGAUAACUGAAGCCACACUGACGGAAAAAAGAGAGAGAGAGCAUUUUGUUCUCCUCAGUGUAUGUGGCGAACACCACAGGUCAAAGUUAAUAUCAAACCCACAAAGCAGUAAUGAAAAAAGGAUUAGAGUGGGAGGAGGGGGAGACGGAGCGAGAGACAGAGCGAGAGAGAAAGUUUGCCAGGGGUGGUCUUACCGCUGAUGCAAAGGCUGAGAGAGCACAGACUCUCCUCGCAGGUCUCCGGGCUCUCCGCCUCCCAAUGAGACCCUCUUUCCCUUUUCCUGGGAGACAUCUGUCUUACGAUGUUUAAAACCCGGUUCACUCUAUCCAUCCUUCCCUUAGUUCUGCGUGACCGAGUGUCCCACGAUUCCACCCCAAUGUGUCACAUUAGACACGGAGAGUCUUCUGAACGAGCGCGUAGAGGAGACACUCUGGCUGCUAGGAUGCUAAAUUUACAUCUGUUUUCGUAUGAUUUUUUUUUUUUCUUGCUUCUUUGCAACAAGCCAAGAAACGGGAACAGAGGGGUGAAAUAAAUAGAAAUAUAUCCCAGUUUUCCUGUCUCUCUCACUGUUAAGCUUUAUCCCACUGCUUCCACAGCACAACUAGCAGUGAGUUGAUCUUUUUUUACCUCCCUCCCUCUAUCCAGCUUGCUCUCUCCGACUCGCUCACUCUACCUUUCAUCUUUUUCACGAGGGUCCUCUCUAAUCAGCUAAUAAUACCUCAUUAGAAUUGGGAAAAAUUGGGGAGGGUUAACCUUAGGAUGGAGGGUGGACUGAGAGCUGUGAGGUGGCCACACAUAAAGGUAGAUCCACCUUGACUACUUGAAGAGAUCUAACUGGAGUUUUUUUUUUAUAUUUUAGACUGUGUCUGUUAGCUUUGAUGCCAUCUAUAUGUGCUAACGUACAGCUAAAAGUUGACAGAGGUCAUUGUCUUGGGAAAAAAAGACAAAUAUCAAUGAUGAAGUGGAUCAUCAGCCAAUCAAAUGCUGUCUAGAGUGAGAACAUCCCUCCGUCACCUGCUGCUACAGCACAGUAGGUAGCAUUAUCAAGUAGCAUAUUAUGAUUUUGUUG
ensembl:lncRNA